GAUGCGAGAUGGCUAGCGAUCGCGAAGGUAAACACGACCCGGAUCUUCAGCGCAUCCGCUAUGUUUGAGACCAUGAAAUCGAUCUGGAGCCUAGCACAUGUGCCGCAGUAUAGGGAGGCAGGGGAAAACCUAUUUAUCUUUCAGAUGUUUUGCCUGGGAGAUUGGAAGAAAGUUGUCCAUGGUGGUCCGUGGUUGUUCAGAGGGAUGGGGAUGCUGAUUGAAGAUUAUGAUGGUAAGCAAGAUCCGGAAUCCGUCAGCUUCGAUGGCCUGUUUGUCUGGGCACAAAUACACAAUAUACCGGAGCUCUACCGGAAACUUGAAAUUGUUGAUCAGCUAGCUAGGCGGAUCGGUCGGGUGAAGGAAACACAACUAUCUCCAAGGCUCUUCUAUGAAGGUAAC
rnacentral:rRNA from 1 species